GAUAAAAGGACAUGCAUGACAGAGGAUCUCCUCAAAUUGCUGAUGAGAACAAAUAAAUGUUGUGGUGGUCAACCGCAAAAACACGUUUCAGCUGACAGACCUGCAUUCUUGGCAUAUGCUAAAACUUCUCCAAAACUUGGCAGUGUCAUUUUGUUUGAAGAUGUAGCCACGAACGAAGGAAAGCACUAUAGUCCAUCAACUGGGGUAUUUACAGUACCACAGAAUGGACUUUAUAGUUUUGGUUGUAUGAUCAUGUCUAGCGGAAAGCAUUUGGUACACUUCAGAUGUUUAAGAAUGACACUUACUUCUCAAAUGGAUGGGUUGCAAAGUCUGAUCAUGCAAAUUCACAGACUCAAAAUAUCGUCGUAUAUAUGAAAAAGGGGGAACGAAUGUACAUCAAACUAGUUAGUGGAGGGGCAAUACAUGGUGGUCGUUACUCUUAUAUAUCUGGAUAUCUUUUAUAAUAAAGAAAGAAGUAUCA